rnacentral:lncRNA from 1 species
CCGCCACCAAAGUUCGAGCCGCUCCUCCCCAGCCCAGCGCGCGCCCCGCCCCGUGCCCCACGUGCAGCGCCCCCACCAAUGGGCGCACCGCGCGCGCGGACCCGGAUCAGGAAACGCGCGGAUCCUGCUUUCUCAGGCAGUAUCUGAGGCUAGAGUUAUAUUUGCAGGACAGUCUAUAAUUUCUGAAUUGCUGAAAAUUAGCGUAUUAACGAUAUCAGAAGCUCCGGAAAGGAGGGAGAGGAGACUGUUGCCUGCUAUUUGAGCGAGAGUCCCCCAGACUGUUCUCUAUCUGAUGCAUGUCUCUAGAGCUGAACAGUGGAAUGGCAGAAUUUCAAAACGCCUGAUGGUGGCAUUUGAAGGCUUCCCCACCACCUACACUAGACACAAGAUUUGAGAGGAACAACACUUUACCAGCCAUUUGACCAAUUAAUUCUUUGGGGAUAAUUUUCUUGUAGUAGUUUAAAAUAAUGCACACAACGCAGGGAUGAGGACUGAUAUUCAUAUUGGGAUUACACAUGAAUUUUAACUGGGAUUGUUUGAGAGGCCUGAGGUUCAAAAUCCUCCAGAUAAAGCAAGCACACUAAAAGCAAUAAAUUCUGCAAGUACUCUUUUCUUUUACUUUGAAGACUAGCUAAGAGGUAUCUAUGGUUUUUGAAGCUGACAUGUCUAUAAGGUGUGUCACAUGUUUUUAACCAAAAAGCACAAUAAAAAGGUUUUUCCCAAAGAGACACGUAAUUGUCUUGUUGACUCAUCGAGGGGUUUCAGUUUUCCUCAUUUCACUAGCCCAAAUGUGGUGAAAUGUUCACUGCUGCAACAGCAAUCACCACAGUUGUUUCCUUUCUUCUGUUUCAUCUGGCAAACCCCCAUUUGGCUUCAAGCUCUUGGCCAGAGUGAAAACUUUACACAUUGCACAGAAGCACCCUGAUUACUUCCAUGAAGGCAGUGUUUGGAAAAUAUUUACUUUACCACUGAACAUACCUGGCACCAUUAAAUCCAAUCAACCAAAAUAUUGGGAUGAUCUUAAACAUUCCUGCAAGAGUCCACAUUCUGAGUAGAUGAAUUAUUUCCAAAGUUAAAAAAGAAAAACCUAGGGAAAAUAUUUCACUUUUCUCUUCUCUGUUUUCCUAUACUGAUCCCUUGAAGGUCAAUUCAUAGAAAAGGGAAAUAUGUCCUCUGGAAAAUAGAUUCUUACAGCACCAACACUUAAAGCCAUUCUAGAUGCAUGAAAAAUAAAAUAUUGUUUAGCUCUUCAGUUGCAACUCACACAUGAGGCAUGGUUCUAGUCGGCUUCCUUAAUACACUAUUCUCUUUCUUUUCUGCUCUCCCACCCUUCUUCUUAGGUUGCUUUAUCUUCUCCUUGGCUUUUUUUUUUAAUUCCACGUGUAUCAUUAAAAAGUACAUUCUGAAGAAUAGAAAAUAUUCUAUUCUGUCCUGGUGGUCUUACAGAGUAGCCUGUUAUUUGUGGAUUUCACCUUUCUGCAUUCCCUACAGUCUAGUUAUUCACUUAUAGCUUGUAGCAUUUCUCUUACAUUCAAUUGUGGUUUAAUAAUAAACAUUAAAAAAAUUUCCAAACAGGAACAUUUUCAUGGCACCAGUAAGCAUUUUGUCACUGGCAGUGGUGGUGGAAGGGGUGAAGGGAGAAUUCUGUGUCUUUCAGGAGGGUUUCCACUUCCUUCCUUCCCCUUCUCAGAUCUCAGAACGCUUUGCAUUCAGCGGACUGUAGUUUCAGAAAAAGCAUAUUCUGUGUUUGAAAACUGCAAAGAUUAUAUUUUGCAAGAAGUGUCUGUGUUUGCAUUUAUUCUUACACACUUUAGGGGUCAUCAUGUGUACUAAAAAGACAAAAAACCGGCCAAUCAGAAUCCCUCUUUUCAAAUAAAGGAGGUUUCCUGCACCAUUCUGUUGCCUUUGAAGGCAUAAUGAAAUAUUGGAAACUUGUGACAUUAGUUUUUAAAGCUCCACAGAUGAGUUUUUAGCAUUUUUAUUUUGUGACAAACCCACAGACUCCUGGUUCUCCAACACCUAAGGUGUUGAUGUUUCAGUAAUCUAUGCCUAUUUACCUGCUGCUAUUCCCUCAGAAUGGGAGCGAUAAUUCAAGAUGAGAUACAGCAUGUAUUACUCUUGAAAAGAGGAAUUUUCUAUCCUUUCCUCCGUAAUUGAGGUCAUUCAACCACUAGGGUUCACCUGGAGUCCAUACCGUGAUACACGCGUCACUCUGAGCCAUUUUAUCUUUUGUGCUGAUAGUCAAGAUCACAGCUCUAACAUUGACAUCAAACUCUGUCUGGGCAGAUGACUAAGAGCACUGCACAAUGUAAACUUUUGACCCUCAACUUUUUGACCUGCAGUUGUAACGCACUAACCGCAAAGAUACACAAAGCCGAGCCUCUUCUUUCAGGGGGAAGGGGCCCCCCAGCAUCUCAGGAUGCCCUGCUUCUGCCACUGCCAUUUGAAAUUAGAGGGUGAAAUGGAUAUUUUUGUGUGUUUGUGACUGUACUUUUUGUUAAAUCAGCCUAUGACCUCUUCGUUAGCACCUAGGAACUAGAUUAACUUGAAAUCACUCGUGAUUCUAUUUUACAAGGAAAAUUUGGAGCAGAAUGGGAGAACCUUGCAAAAAGUGAAAGAAAAGAGAAGAUGGGGGAAAGCAGGCAAUGGGAGGUGGAGACACUUUUUCCCUUUAUUUAAAACUAAAGACGCAGCCCUAAUUGUUGGGAGAGCUGGCCCAAGCGGGUGAAUUGACUGUGAACUUGUACUAAAGCGUGCUCUGCUGGCGAUUCCUAGGGUGUGCAGAUUUAUCUUCUCUGCAUUUACUUAACCCGGCAGUGAACUGCGCGGGCGUCAUUUGUUAGGCGAUGACAGACUUCACCUCCAGCAAGGGCUGCUUCACAAAAUCGCAAUAAUUAUCUAAUAACCUUCAUAACAAAUAUUAUUAUUGAAAAGACUGGUUUGUGGGGAGGGGACCUGGUGGGAGAACAAAUUUAUUUGUGAACAACAACAAACAAAACAAACCUGGGCAGACCUUCAAGUUCUGGGGCUUAGAAUGGCUGGGGCUGUGGAUCCCCUCCCCUACUUGGGUGGGAGCUUAGGCUGACCCCCUCAGCCCUGCCUGGGAGCCCCGUUUAUAGUUUUGCCAUUGACUAGAAGGAAACUCCUCCUCAGAAACCAAAGGGAGGGAGCCCACAAUGCUCUGCACUCUCCAUGGUGGGCAAGCCAUGGACAGACCCCCAGCCAAGGCAGGGGGGAGGCUGAGAAGGGCAUCUUUUAAGCUAAAAGGAUUGUUUUCCUCUUUAAUUGCCUAUCUUUUAAGAUGUGAUUUGCUUUCCACUCACUAAUUAUUUCGAUAUAAUACUCUCAGAAUCUCAACAAAUGAACAGGACUCUGUUUUUUGGUGGGAAAUUCUGUCUUGCUCUCUCAGAGCCGCCAACAAUGAAGCAGGGGAAAGAGCAGGAGAAAGGGAAUCUUGGCAUAAUGUUGUGAAAUUAGACCAUGGAAACCCUAACAAACCACUAAGUAAGUGUGACCAGAAGCUUCCUGUUGUAUUUAUAGUUCAGAAAUAUUGUCUCUUCAGCUUGUGGGAACAAACGAGCCCCCGCACAUUGCCGCUGAGGAGGAGCACAGACACGCACUUCUGCCACCGGCUGAGGCUGGAUGUCUUCAUAAAGCCCUCAGUGACAGACAUAUUUUUUCUUAGUAAGUUCCUCUGCAAGAACAACCCAAAAGAAUCCACAAAAGAAAUAACUUAUCUACAGAAUGAGCAGAAAACCAGCCAUCCUCUUUAUUAUGCUUCCUAUGAAAAUAGGAAGAAAGAAAAAAAUCUUCCAGUAACACAUAGGUCUGACUGCAUGAUGUAUUUUUAAAGUCAUUUUAAUUCCAUGUGGCCAUGUGGGUUUGCCUGCUCUCUUAAAUUCUACUUAAGUUUUGUGAAGAUUAAAACAGACAGAAAUAAGCAAGCUGACAAUAUUUACAGCCUGUAAUUUUUCUCAUUCCUUGGAAAGAUUCUCUAUGUUCUGUGGUACUGGAUAUGACUUCAACAGGCUUUCUGCUCAUUCCCACACCCCAGGGUGGAAUAUGGCCAUGAAGUAGUGUGGAUAUUUUCUGUGUAAGUAACUCAAAUUAAACUGGCAGAAUCCCCGUCACUCUUUUUUUUUUCUAAUUUCAAUCACCAAGAAAUCACUCAAGCAAGAUCACCAAAUCAGUAACUAAAAUGGAACCAUAACGCAAUAUUUUCCAAUAAGGAGCCCAAAAUUCAGAGCAGCAAAACAAGGAAUCCAGUAUUCUCACAGACACAUAACAUUAUAAAAGAGAACCCAUACCCAUGUAGAGUUUAUAUCCUUGUUCCCACUAAGAUGUGGACACAUCUUCUUGAAUGCUGAAAUACCAAUGUUUACUUUAAUAGGUUACACACAAUGACUUCAGGAUUCUUCACCUUGCCACUAUUCAUGAGAAGUAGCACUUGUGGGAGGGUUUUGAUUUUUCAAAAAAACUUUCUAGGUUUUGCUUUCUGGACCUCUGACUUUAGGGACAUCUGUUGGACUUAUGUUGAGUGUAGGUGGCCUCUGCACAAUAAGUUUAUUGAAAUUCCAAAUCUAUACUUUCAAUUUUUUCACUUUAAGCACUUAAUAGGUAUCUUUACCAAUUAAUACUUGCUGAAAACUGCCCAGCUCCUAAGGAGAAAAGCAGAUCCUAUUUUUUGUUUCAUUUCUGAAUGCAGUAGGAGAAUUUGGCUUAAUUCCUAAAAUAGGAUUGGAGGAAAUCUACUGGGUCCCUUGUGGGUACCCAUCCAGAAAAAGAUCCCAGGACAGGCCACAGUCCCCAGUCACUGGGCUUGGGUUUUGCCAUUGAAGAAUAUGGGGGGUUGGGGCCAGAAGGGGUGACUGGGGCCAAUAUGGAAUUGUGCCCAGGAUAAACUUAUUUCACCUUACUUCACCCAUUGGUGCAAUUUUGGAGACUGUUCUGGAAAUCAUAGAUUAUGUAAAUUUCCUGGGAUCAAACAGAAAGAGCAACUAACAAAAGAAAGGCGGAAAUCUCCUACUGACAAAGGACCAAUUUCUUCCCUAAACUACCGUUUAUGAUGUGUCAGGAAAAACAACCUAAUGGCUCUGGGGACUUUUAAGUUGGGCACUGAAGACACCUCAAUUUCCCCCAAAACUUUAGAGCACAGUUUGGAACAGAGAAUUCGCCUGUAUGUUGAGGGGGAGUGAAUUUCUCCAAUCUUAAUGUUAUCCAGGGGGCCGCCUAAGUUGCCUUCUGAGGGUCCUGUGCGUAGAUGUUUUUAAUUCUACAAAGAAGGAGAGGAACAGGAAAGAAGAGAGGGAGAAGAAAGGCAAAGCGGAAGAAAAGAAAGCGCUUUAACCCCUUUCAAUUAGCCUGGGGAUUCAAAGACUAAAGUUAAAUCCGGCCAUAAAGUUUAUUGCUUCAGACUCACAAGCGGCUGAGAACAGUCCCGCCGAAAUAAAAAGAACAUGCAGGCAAACAGGGUUCAGGGCCUGGUCCCGGGUGCGGGGGAGGGGGUCCUGAACACCCCCCCACACCAGGGUGGGGAUCCUUGGUCCUCAGGGUCCAGUGGGCGCUAGCAGCCCAGGAUCCACCUUGCAACCCGGGGGCCCAGCCUGGAGGUGCAGCCCCAGCCUCGCCGGCCUCUGCCACCCUCCCGCUCUCGCGAGCUAGCCUGAAACCCGGCCCCGAAGGCCGCCGCCUCAAUUCAGCCCUGCCAAAUGACCCCGGCCCGCGAAGACAUAUUGCCACAGCCCCGUAAGGAAUCCCGCCAGAG